rfam:Stegodyphus mimosarum contig8960, whole genome shotgun sequence.
GCCUUCGUUGUGUAGUGGUCAGCGCACUCGACCCGCAACCGAGAGGUCCGUGGUUCGAUUCCCGGCGAAGGCG